rnacentral:misc_RNA from 1 species
AUUUCUGUCCACAUCUACAUCCUCUGCAGCUUUUCCAGGAAAGAAGAUUUUCACAAGACCUUGAACUAGACUUGGUGAAAAGUCCUUGUACCGCUGAUGAAGCAAAGAACAGAUCAGCACUGCAGCUUGUAUGUCUGCAGCCCGAAGCUUUGCAUCACAAAUAGCAGUCACUGCUUCACUUACAAACUUGCUUAAGUUGACACUGCGCAACUCUUCCAUCAAACCUUCUCGCUGCUCUUCAUUAAUCUGUUUUAGUUUUUUAAUAACUGCAGUAUUGCGCUUAAUACUAGAAUCCAAUGUCCUUAGAAAACCAGUGUCUGGUCGUUCUGGAUUCAGAUUAUUCUGCCUAAGAGCUAUCUUUGCCUCAACAGAUUUUUUGAAUUCCUCAUGACGAGCCACAGCUUCCUCAUCUUCAUGUUUCUCUGGGUGUUCCACUCCAACACGACAGUCAUCCUCAG